rnacentral:rRNA from 1 species
UACGUAGGGUGCAAGCGUUGUCCGGAAUUAUUGGGCGUAAAGAGCUUGUAGGCGGUUUGUCGCGUCUGCUGUGAAAAUCCGGGGCUCAACCCCGGACUUGCAGUGGGUACGGGCAGACUAGAGUGUGGUAGGGGAGACUGGAAUUCCUGGUGUAGCGGUGAAAUGCGCAGAUAUCAGGAGGAACACCGGUGGCGAAGGCGGGUCUCUGGGCCGGUACUGACGCUGAGGAGCGAAAGCGUGGGGAGCGAACAGG